rnacentral:lncRNA from 1 species
AAAUGAACGAGGCACAUUAACUCAAAGAUUUUGGACUUAUAUCUGCGCAGAAUUAUUGUUAUCUCCUUGAGAAUAUAAGCAGACUGCAUGGUAAGUUCCAGAUGGGAUUCCUCUGAAGUCCAGGUAAAUGAACUCAAGCGUAUCCUUCAUCCCAGUUCUGUGAUGAAAGCCUGCUGUUCCUUGGGAAGGCAAGAGGAGGAAUUUGAAUGGCAUCUUUGUUGGUGGAAGAGAGGGGAUGAUAAGAGUGCUUGUACAUGAUUCUUUGGGCUAGAUUAAAGGUCAUGUGGAAUCAUAUGGAUGAAGAAAUUUUCCUGCCAAAUUAGCUCCUCCAGGUUGUUCCACACCCUUGGGUAAAUGGAAGAGGAAAUUAGGACAGUGUAGCAACAGUGUAAAAUCAGAUGAAGAAGUUAGUCAUCUACAAACCAAGGAGAAAGCCCCCAGAAGAAACCAAGCCUGCUGACGCCUUCAACUCCAACGGCAGCCUCUAGAAUUGCCAGAUACAUUUCUGCUGUUUAAACUACUCGUUCUCUGUGGUACUUCAUUAUGGCAAACUUAGCAAACUGGUACACUGAUUUAAAGCAGAGGCAGACUAAAUCUCAGGUAUCUACAAUCCUUGCUCAAAUUUUAUUUUUAAAAAUAUUCUCUAAUUAAGGAAAUAAGUUACAAAACAAAUAGGAAAGCAGUUAGCAAUUACAGAGUGAAGAAAAUACUCUGAAGGAAAUAUUAUUUUAGGAUGACAUCAAGUCAGAUGCUACAGUUUAGCCAAUGUAGAUGUUAACUAAUAAAUGUAAAUGUUCAUAGUUGAUCCAGGUCAUGAAACUUGCCUAGCAAAAACAAAAUAUUAUUUGAAUUCUGGACUAUCUGAGUAGAAUUGCAUUGCAAAAAAAUUGUAUGCUGUCAAUAGGGACAGCAGUGUGAAAGAAAGCAAAACCUAGAAGUUAUCAGAGAGCCAAUCAUGAGUCCUAUGAAAUGGCUAAUCCUAAAUUGUCACAUCAGGAUCAUGAGUUUGGUGUUCAGUGAGUUUCUUAUAAAAUUGUAAUAAUAAAACUUGAGCCAAUGUGUGCUUCUGCAUUCAAAGCUACAAUUAGAGUUCUACUCUCCAAAUGCACUUCUGCAAAUAACCUCUCAUUCAUAAGCCUUCCAUGACCUUUAUGUUUGAAAUUAAGUCUUUUUAUAGCUUUUUUCUUGCUUUAAGUGCCAUUCAGCUUAAAUAAAGUCAAACAUUUAAAAAUAAUGGAUUUCAUCUCACAAGCUGCUGUAGUCACUUAAUUCACUCACUAAUUCAGUGACAUUCUCAUAAAAAUAACUUAUUUUGAUAUUUUAGUGUAUAUAAAUACUGCAGCUGACUAAUGCCUACUAAAAACACAUUUUCUGGGAUACCAAAAAAAUAUGUAUCAUUAUUUUAGGCUUUAAAUGGCAUAUAAAUGACACAAAUAAAUGGUUUUAUUUAGAUAUAGUGACAUAGCUAUAUUAGAUAAAGUGACAUAGCUCACAAACAAAAGUUUGUGAGUUUGCGUAACCUAUGUAAUUUGUGCAGUAUCGAUUUCUAAAAUUCAGCUGUAGAACUUGGUACUAUACUUAGAUUUGCUUUCUGUAUUGAUAAAUAUUGAAAUUGCAAUUCUCACUUAGCAUUUGAAAUAAAAAUGAUCCCGAAGGUUCUAUAAUGGUUGCUUGAGCUCCUCCCUCUCAAAUCUGUGUGCACUGUGCUGGGAAUUCACACUUAGAUAUUAUGGAGAAUCAAUUUGUAAGGGAGUAGUCUUUAUUUCACUUCAAUGAACUAAUUUUAUUUUAAAUGAAUGUAUUAGAAAAUUUG